AUAUUCCUGUACCACCUAUAAUCGUUUUAAUCGAUGGGGGGACGCAGUAGGAUAGGCGAAGCGUGCGAUUGGAUUGCACGUCUAAGCAGUAAGGCUGAGUAUUAGGCAAAUCCGGUACUCGUUAAGGCUGAGCUGUGAUGGGGAGAAGACAUUGUGUCUUCGAGUCGUUGAUUUCACACUGCCGAGAAAAGCCUCUAGAUAGAAAAUAGGUGCCCGUACCGCAAACCGACACAGGUAGUCAAGAUGAGAAUUCUAAGGUGAGCGAGCGAACUCUCGUUAAGGAACUCGGCAAAAUGACCCCGUAACUUCGGGAGAAGGGGUGCUCUUUAGGGUUAACGCCCAGAAGAGCCGCAGUGAAUAGGCCCAAGCGACUGUUUAUCAAAAACACAGGUCUCUGCUAAAC
rnacentral:rRNA from 1 species